UACGUAGGAGGCGAGCGUUGUCCGGAAUUACUGGGCGUAAAGCGUGCGCAGGCGGUUCGCUGUGUCCUGUGUGAAAGCCCCGGGCUUAACCUGGGAAUGGCAUGGGAAACUGGCGGGCUGGAGUGUGGCAGAGGGGGGUGGAAUUCCGCGUGUAGCAGUGAAAUGCGUAGAGAUCGGGAGGAACAUCUGUGGCGAAGGCGGCCAUCUGGACCAGCACUGACACUGAGGCACGAAAGCGUGGGGAGCAAACAGG
rnacentral:rRNA from 1 species